GUGCGGCGCCUGCCCGGGGGCCCUCAGGCCGCAGGCGGGCGCGAGCUUCAGGGAACUUAGGGGGCUCCCGCCUCCCCGGCCACGCGAGCGGGAACAGUCUCCUCCACUCGGAGCGAUUAUAGAUCCAGACUCCUGUGCCUGACCACUGCCCAUGGCCAACUCUCUGCUGAUGACUGGACUUGACUACACAAGUUGUUGGGUACUUUGACUAGAACACCAACCAAGUCAUUGGAAAUAUAAUGCUUUGUUCUUUCUAGCUCCAAGAUAUGAACAUGUGACAACCCAAACAAACAAAAUCCCAACAAGGUUGUCAGAUAUGCAAAUUACAGUUGACCCUUGAACAACAGAGAGGGUAGAGGUGCUGAUCACUGGCACAGUUGAAAAUUCAAAAGUUUUGACUCCCCUAAAACUUAAUUACUAAUAACCUACUGUUGACUAGAAGCCUACUGAUAAUAUAAACGAUUUAUUAACACAUAUUUUAUAUGUUAUAUGUAUUAGGUACUGUAUUAUAAUAAAGUAAGCUAGAGCAAA
rnacentral:lncRNA from 1 species